GCACACUAAUUUAUAGAACCAAAAUCUUCUCUUCAAAAAAUGGCUACUUUGUGUUCAACAUUCAAGAUGGCCUUUGUCUUCGUUGCUCUUCUUUUCACUGCUCAUUUGUCUCCAAAAUCUCAAAUAAUGGCCAUUCGAGACAUUAUUUCUCCAGAAUUACAAGCUAUGGAACAAAGCCUAUUCCUUUCUCCUAUUAAUCGACUUUCAACUUGUCUCCUACCAUGUGUCUCUGCUUCAGAUUGUAGUGGCACUUGUAGUCACUGCACAUUGAAUGCUUUAUUAAUAAAGCUAUGCACUUGAAUUAAUCGGAGUUCCACAACAGUAUGUUUCUCAAAUGCUUUUGAUGUUUUAAAGUCCAACUCUCGCUCUUGGAGCCACCUGGUUUUCCUUUUAUGGAUUUGGAAUAAUGAAAUUCUAGCUCUAUAAGCUUGAAUAUUGUACUAUUGUAAUAUCCUUUUUCUCAGAAAAGGGGUUUAUUCUAAGAAAAUGUUGUGUGUAUGAAUUAAAUUUUCUUGUUGUUGUUUCUUUGGAUUUGUUUUGUUGUGUCUUUUUCACUGUUUGUUCAAUUGAGGGUCAUUCAAAAACAGUCAUGUUUUUACCUUUUUAAAGAUAGGAGUAAGGUGUACGUAUACACUGUCCUCACCGGACCCUAUUUAUGAAAUUAUAUUGUGUUUGUUGUUG